rnacentral:rRNA from 1 species
UUAAAGAAAGCGUAAUAGCUCACUGGUCGAGUCGGCCUGCGCGGAAGAUGUAACGGGGCUAAGUAGUAAACCGAAGCUGCGGCAAUAUACUUUUGUAUAUUGGGUAGGGGAGCGUUCUGUAAGCGGUUGAAGGUGUGUGGUAACGCAUGCUGGACGUAUCAGAAGUGCGAAUGCUGACAUGAGUAACGAUAAAGGGGGUGAAAAACCUCCUCGCCGGAAGACCAAGGGUUCCUGUCCAACGUUAAUCGGGGCAGGGUAAGUCGACCCCUAAGGCGAGGCCGAAAGGCGUAGUCGAUGGGAAACGGGUUAAUAUUCCCGUACUUCUUACAAUUGCGAUGGGGGGGACGGAGAAGGCUAGGUGGGCCUGGCGACGGUUGUCCAGGUUCAAGUGCGUAGGCUUAAGAGUUAGGUAAA